GGAACUCCAUACUGAUUUCAAUAUGGCUACACUAAUGUCCAUUUGUAAAGAUCUCCCACCCUCUGUGCACAUCAGCAUCUUCCCUCUUGACUUGCUUUGAGCCUAAAAUCUGAUCUGGUUUGAAGAAAGUUUCAUGAACUGCUGAGAAGAACCCAUUUACCACAGGUAUUGGGUGAAAUAAUUCUGCUGGUGUCUUGUCUGUGUGUCUCGGAGGCAGAGUAUGAGGUGCUGUUGAUGGACUCAGGGUCUUCUUGCAUGCUUAGCAGUUUCUUUUGGUCACAGAUUCUGAACACAGCAACAAAAAUCUAGGAGAGUAGCUGAAUGGUGUUGGUAAGUCGCUGACUUCAUUAUCAGAUAACUUAGUGAUGACUUCUGGGCUGAGGAAGCCAUAAGAGUGUGGUCCUGGCUGGGGGAGGACCACUGACACACACCCUGAGGGCUGUGACCUAUGUGCCUGUCCCCAGCUCCUUCCUGGGUCUGCCUCUCCACCACUAGGCCAGCAGCUUUGUCCCACACUUGCUCCUGCAGGAUGCUCAGUCGCACCAGCUCCCCACACUGGCUUGACACUGGGGCCAGAUGGAGGGGUACAGGAUGCUCAGGAACCAUGAACCCUGACAUACUCUCACUGAAGUUGUUCCUGUCAGGCAUCUCGUCACAACCAGAAAAUCCGGACACAUGUGCAGUGUGUCCACAGGACCUGUCACAGCCCUUUCUGGGGCUAAUAAUGCCAGCAGACUUGCUGGUCAGAGCUUGGAGUCUGAUACCUGGAGUCCUGCUUCCUGGUCUCUGCAGCCAGACGCACUCUACAGGCUCAAUAGGCAGGGUGGGGGAGGGGCUGAGACCCUGUAGUGACUCGAACUCUGGAUCAGGAUUUUUGACCUCAGUUUCCUGACUAUAAACUGAGAGGUUUCAGAAAGUAUUCCCUGGGGAAGUGGGACCAGGCAGACAUGGCCACUGCACCCCCAGCAUCCCAGCCUGAGGCACAGCUGGUUCUGAUUGUGGGGGCUCAGCUCCCCUUGGUGAAGUGAGCAUGUCAGGCAAAGACUGAAACUUAACCCCAGUCCUCAUCCCACUCCUCUCCAGGAGGAGCACAGAGGAGCCCUCCCAGUGGAUCCCUGUCUCCUGGGGUGAAGCUCCCAGGAAGUGGAUCUGGGGAAGCUCCAGCCAUGAGGACUAUGAAAAUAAACUGCCAACGAUGUGAAUGGGACAGAUUCAAAGUGAUGGAAGAUUUUCAGAGACCGCAGGCUGCACGCUGCGACAGGGAUCCAGAGAUGAACAUCUGCUUUUGGUGAGGGACGGAGCCCUGGUCCAGCAUCAAGUCAGCCAACCCACCUACCAGGGCAUCUGCCUGGGUCCUCACCAACAGACAUGGGUGCAGAACUGAAGCCAGGCAGCCACCGGGCCAGAUCCCCCACCCAGGUCUGAUAUCUGACUCUGGGCAACCCCAAUCUAAAGACAUUAAUAAAACUUUCUAAAAAAUGGUUCUUUCAUCUGAACUGACCCAUCCUCUGUGUGGCGUGGUAAAAUUUCAUGGCCUUGGGCUCAGUACUGCCUCUGUGUAUGUGAGUCACCCCUCUGUCUAGCUUUUUACAUCACCCACCCUGUAGUGGCCUGGGAGUUAUUUCCACAAUCAGAUCAACUGCCACCAUAUACCAAAGACCAGCCAUGAAAGUCCUUCCUUCGGGUGAAAAAGGGAAACUCGCAGUGUAAUAAACAAAUUAAAAACCAGCUUGUAGUGCUUGCUAAGAUCUGGGUAAGGAUGUUCCAGGGUUGGGCGUGGCAGUAAACUUUUAGCAAUCCUCCUGCUUCAGCCUCCUGGUGCUGGAAUUACAAAUGUGUGCCACUGUGCCCAGUUGCUGUUUUUAGUUUCUGGCCAUGGCUGAAUUUUAGCUUAUAAAAUCAUAGAUGAAAGAAAAGUAGUCAAGCCAGACACUGCGUGAGGUUUCAGACAACCAAUGGGCUCUUAGAAGACAUUCCCUAGGGGGCUGGAGAGAUGGCUCAGCGGUUAAGAGCACUGACUGUUCUUCCAAAGGUCCUGAGUUCAA
rnacentral:sRNA from 1 species